ACCACAGAAGGUAAUAGUCCUGUAUGUUAAACGAGAAGACUUUAGAUAUGAUCCAGAGUACCACGGGACACGUGAAACCCUGUGGGAAGCAGGAGGGACCACCCUCCAAGGCUAAAUACUACCUAGUGACCGAUAGCGUAUAGUACCGUGAGGGAAAGGUGAAAAGAACCCCGGGAGGGGAGUGAAAUAGAACCUGAAACCCUGCACUUACAAGCUGUGGAAGCACAUUUCUUGUGUGACCGCGUACUUUUUGUAGAACGGGCCAACGAGUUACGUUAAGUAG
rnacentral:rRNA from 1 species